AUAUGAGGUAACUGUUGUGUUCAUUCAGUUCUACUAGUUUGAAGUUCAUUUAUUACAAGUUUAAAGCCACUGUUGGUGCACAGAUGUAAAUGUUGUCCUCCAGGAAAUCUUAAUUUCAAGAAAUGAAUGCCAGUCAAUAAAUAGGAUCUGCUCAGAGGAUGACAGCACAUUGUUUGUAUUCCCAGGAUUUCUGCAGAUUUCACACAUUAAUGAGGAUUUUGAAGAGUUUUCCAGGAGCUCCAGGUUUUUGUUGAGGCAGUGAGUGAAGAUGAAACACUGUGCUGCUUUCGACUACUGGGGUCGUGGGACUGAAGUCACAGUAACUUCAGCAACACCUACAUUGCCAGAUGUGUUCCCUUUGGUUUCCUGUAAAUCUGCGACUGAAAAUGAAGUCACUCUCGGCUGUCUUGCGUACGGCUUCUACCCAAAAAGUGCCACUUUCAUGUGGACUAGUGCCAGCGGGACCAAACUGGACUCUCACCAGUAUAUUUCAUAUCCCAGUAACAACAACACAUAUACAGGAGUCAGUGUGAUCACAGUAUCAGAGUCUGAUUCUUCGGCUUAUAAAUGUUCUGUGAAUCACCCUGAAGGCAACAGAUCUGUGACAGUCAAACGCGUGUUCUCUCCAGAGGUGACUUUGCUAUCAGUGCCGAGUGAAGACAAACAGGCCCUGGUGUGCACCAUUGAGAAGCUUUCCUCUGAAACACUUUCAGUCAGUUGGAAAAAGAAUGGGGUGUCUGAAACUGGCUUCAUGGAUGGGAAAUCCAAAAAAACUGGAGACGUAUAUUCAACUGUCAGUGUCCUAAAAGUCACCAAAGCAGAUUGGGACAGUAACGCUGUUUACACAUGUGAGGUGACUCACGAUGGAUUGACUUAUACAAAGACAAUCUCAAAAGCUCCCAUCACAGUGACACUCAACCCUCCGAGUCCAAAAGACAUUUUCAGCAACAACCAGGCAGUGUUGGAGUGUGUGGUUACCGGAGAGGACAGCGACGUGCUAUCAAAAACUACAAUCACUUGGCAGAUUGACGGACAGCCUGCGACAGAAAACAUUACAAGCGACAGCCAGGCAAAGAGAAAAAGCAGCAAACUGACUCUUACUUUGACUGCCUGGGCCGGAGUCAGCAAAGUGAGAUGUUCUGCCAAAACAAAAGAUAUGACGCCAGUAAUCGAAGAUCUGACUGUCCACAAAGGAGAUGGGACAGAGCCAAAAGUGACAGUUCACAUCCUUCCAGAGCAGGACAUCAACCAAGAAGUCACUCUGGUGUGUCUGGUCUCCAGCUCCAUGCUGCAGGAUUACUACAUCACCUGGACAGAAGACAACGGACAAACCACCGGAAUCUAUACCAAUGGCAUCAACUUCCCCCCACAGAAGACUAAAAACGGCUACUCAGUGACAAGUCUGUACGCCACCACCAAGAAGAAGUGGAACGAUGGCUACAUGAUCAAAUGCCACGUCUGGCCUGCUGGCAGAAAAGACAAAGUGAAACCUCAUGGAGUGUCCAAGGACAUGGACAUUCCUUUGGAGUUUCUGAGCUCCACAGAGGGAUCCACUGAUGAGGAUGAGCUCAGCAGCCUCUGGUUCACAUCCUCCUGCUUCAUUUUCCUCUUCAUAUUCUCUCUCUUCUAUAACAUGAUAUUCAGCCUGGUCAAGAUGAAGAAACAAUAAAGGACGGACGGAUGGAUCUCAAAACGUGUGAAUAAUCAAUAAUCUGCUGUUUAAUUGUGAAAAUAAAUGGUUUUGUCCAGUACAAGAUGAAGUAAAAAUAUAUUUCAUACUUAUUUAAAAAAAUAUUUUUCUUUCACAUUAUGAUUGCAAAACAUUUUUAGUUUAAUUCAAGUGGAAUUUCAGUAAUUUCCAAAUAGCACAUUAGAAUUAAAUGCAUGAGCAUGUCUUUGCUUUUAUCAGUAGUUCCACAGAUAUGAUGCUUAAUAAAUAAUAUUUACGCUAACAUUUUCUUCUGAAAUUUGAACCACAAUGCAGGCUUAAAAAGAGCCUCUAAAAUAAGCUGCAUGUGAAUUCAGCGAAGCAUAAACUUCUGUUAUCAGUUGAGCUCUGCAGGUUUUCAGUUUCCUGCUGUUUCUAAACAUGUCGUUUCUAGAGAGCCACUUCUCUUUCUCUGCACCUCUGGGACCACACCUGCAGCCGAAAACUUUGUAGAAACCGUCAGAAAUGCAAAUAGAUUUCCUUGAAGGAUGUUAACAUCUGUCAGUAUGUUAAAGUUUUGCAUAUUUGUCUGUUUUGAGGCAUGAAGUGACUGACAUGCAUUCAGAGAGACGAGAAAAAUGCUCAGAAAUGUGGACACACAGAAGCAUAAAAGGAUGAAAUAUUUAGAUCAGGGUGUCAAACUCAUCUUAGUUCAGGGGCCACAUUCAGCCCAUUUUCAGUUCAAUAAAAUUUUAUUUAUAUAGCACCAAUUACAGUCAAAUUGUCUCAAGACAUUUUACAGAACCCACAUGCCUGAACCCCAGAGCAGCCCUAAGGUGACAGUGGCAACAAAAACACCCUUUUAACAGGGAAGGAACCUUGAGCAGAACCCGGCUCUUUAUGUAGGAGAUCCAUCUGUCUGCUGGCCGGACGGGCUGAGAGGGACAUGUGGGGAUAUGAAAAUACUGAUGUAAAAUAGGCCACCCCUUCAAAAUGUAUUUAAUUGGUAAUAAUAUUGUGCUAUUCAUCUUCAGUUUCCUUUUUUAAAAUUAUUUUCUUGUCUUUUCUAUUAAUGUACAUUACUACUGAGCCACACAUUUAGAUUUGCUUUAGAUGCAAUUCAUACAGUCCGCCACAAGAAGGAGGUGCUCUCAUGGGAACCUCAGCAAGCUGCGGUGUAGAAUAAGCAGGCUCUGCUGCACCAUGAAAAAGCAGACAGACGGCCCAGAUCCACAGCACGGCAUUUAUGUUUUGUGUUGUUAUGUUUCAGAAAUAAACCCAUCAAAAGACA